rnacentral:lncRNA from 1 species
GCACUUUAUUUUACAUUUUAAUAUUUUAUGAUGUAUUUAAAAGAGUAGUUAUUGUUGCAAACUCCAUUAGAAAAUUUGAAUUGAUAUCAGUUUUGAAAAAGGGAAACGGGGAUGUGAAAAAAGGGGGGGUUAAAUUUGUCUCAUUUCAGAUUUCAUAAAUAAAAAGAAAAUUUCUUCAAACAUUUUUUUGAGAGGAUUAAUAUUCAACAGCAUAGUGAAUUGCUCAAAGGCAAAAAAAAACUUUUAAGUUCAUUAGACCACAUUCAUUCUGUGUCAGAAACCUAUGCUGUGUCAACUAUUUAAUUUUAGAUUUAAAUAAGAAGAAAUCUUUAAUUGAUUUGUAAAAUCUUGACAUUUGUUUUGUGUAAAAAAAACCAUGUAAUGUCAAAAAUUUGAUCACAAUCCAAAUUCAGAGCUGUAUCACGCUUGAAUGUUUUGUCCAUACUUGCCCCAACUGUUCAGGGUUCGACCUCUGCGGUCGUAUAAAGCUGCGCCCUGCGGAGCACCUGGUUUGUUUUUAUCAACAUUUACUCACUUUUGCCAUGUGAAGUAAUUUCUAUUUAUUGUUUGUUAAAACUCAUGCCAAUUCAUGAAUUGGAGAAUAAUUGUUUUCUUCUGGUACCUUAUUACACUAUAUUAUUUUCUAUAACAAAUGAUUCAUUGAGAUGAUGAAAUUGUAUUACAUUAUGAUGAUUGAGGGAGGGAUGUAGUGAAAUUAUCAAGGGGAGACAAUGUGUAUGAAUUUGUUGUCUGACAGAUGAUUGAACAUAUAUGUAUUGAAUGAAGUUGUGAAUGUUUUGUCUGUGAUAAAUGAUAAUGAGUGAAAGUUUUUGAUUAUAGUGUGAUAUUCAUAUGGCAUUAACAUGAUUAAUGUAACGGUUGUACAAGGUGCAUAUUAUAAUUUUAAAGUAUGAUGGAAGGUAACUUAAGAAAUCAUUUUAUUUCUACUGAUGUAUAAUUUGUAAUGUAUAUCAAUGUUGAAUUGAAAUACUCAAAAAAAGUAAGAAUUUGUGUGAGAGGUGUGAAACUGAAAUGAUGUCUAUUAAUAAUACCACCAAAACUGCAUAGUCACUUCUGCUUCAACAGAAAAUAACACAUAGUUAAAGAAAUAACUUAACUUUCAGUUUUCAUAAGUCAGAUCCUCUAUUUAAUUGCUAACCGAAUUGUUCUAUGUAAAUUGUUUUUUUUUUUGUUUGGAUGAUUUUUUUUGAGGUUUGGUAAAAAAUGUUUUCAUUGAAAAUUCCUCAAAUUUGAAAAAGAGUGCAGACAUUCUGCAUACCUAACUUAAGGUAAAUUACUAUUCGCAUUUGAAUCAAAUUCUUUGAAAAAUGAACAAGUGUAGUUUGACGUUGUAGAAAUAAUAUUUUCUGUAAACACUGCAUUUUGAGAUUAUCUGAUUUGACAUGGUGAUGUAUAAAAAUCAUUUCAUUUCAGAUUCACUUUAAAGAUAUGUCUGUCUCUAUUCUUUAUGCAAAUUUUCUGUAUGAGGUAAAAUGAAAUAAUGAAUUUAGAAUUCCAUGGUCAAUUAUAAGAAUACAUUCCUAUGGAAAAGUGCAUUAUCUUUCUAAAGGACAGUUGUUAUAUAAUAAGAACCUAUUUAGCCAAUUCUCAAUAAAUAAAAGCAAUUAUAAAUCUGUUUAAAUAUGUCUGAAUGGAGAGAAGAUAAAGAGAUUAUUUUAAACCUUGUAAAUAUGAAUAUUUGUUAUGAAUGAUGCUGUAAAUAGACUGAAAGUUAUUGUUUGGGAUAAAUAUAUUUUAUUUGUAACAUAUAUGCUACAUUUUACAUUCAGAAAUCUAGAGAAAAAUAAAUUU